rnacentral:rRNA from 1 species
UACGGAGGGGGCUAGCGUUGUUCGGAAUUACUGGGCGUAAAGCGCGCGUAGGCGGACCUGCAAGUCGGGGGUGAAAGCCCGAGGCUCAACCUCGGAACUGCCUUCGAUACUGCGGGUCUCGAGUCCGGGAGAGGUGAGUGGAAUUCCUAGUGUAGAGGUGAAAUUCGUAGAUAUUCGCAAGAACACCAGUGGCGAAGGCGGCUCACUGGCCCGGUACUGACGCUGAGGUGCGAAAGCGUGGGGAGCAAACAGGAG